rnacentral:rRNA from 1 species
GAUGAAUGCUGGCGGCGUGCCUAAUACAUGCAAGUCGAGCGAACAGACGAGGAGCUUGCUUCUCUGACGUUAGCGGCGGACGGGUGAGUAACACGUGGAUAACCUACCUAUAAGACUGGGAUAACUUCGGGAAACCGGAGCUAAUACCGGAUAAUAUAUUGAACCGCAUGGUUCAAUAGUGAAAGACGGUUUUGCUGUCACUUAUAGAUGGAUCCGCGCCGCAUUAGCUAGUUGGUAAGGUAACGGCUUACCAAGGCAACGAUGCGUAGCCGACCUGAGAGGGUGAUCGGCCACACUGGAACUGAGACACGGUCCAGACUCCUACGGGAGGCAGCAGUAGGGAAUCUUCCGCAAUGGGCGAAAGCCUGACGGAGCAACGCCGCGUGAGUGAUGAAGGUCUUCGGAUCGUAAAACUCUGUUAUUAGGGAAGAACAAAUGUGUAAGUAACUAUGCACGUCUUGACGGUACCUAAUCAGAAAGCCACGGCUAACUACGUG